rnacentral:rRNA from 1 species
CUCCAGACUCCUACGGGAGGCAGCAGUGGGGAAUAUUGCACAAUGGGGGGAACCCUGAUGCAGCGACGCCGCGUGGGUGAAGGAGCACCUCGGUGCGUAAAGCCCUCUCGGCAGGGAAGAAAAGCGAACAGGUUCGCCUGGACGGUACCUGACUAAGAAGCCCCGGCUAACUACGUGCCAGCAGCCGCGGUAAUACGUAGGGGGCAAGCGUUAUCCGGAUUUACUGGGUGUAAAGGGGGCGCAGACGGCAGCGCAAGCCAGGAGUGAAAGCCCGCGGCCCAACCGCGGGACUGCAUUGGGAACUGGCGCGCUGGAGUGCCGGAGGGGUAGGCGGAAUUCCUAGUGUAGCGGUGAAAUGCGUAGAUAUUAGGAGGAACACCAGUGGCGAAGGCGGCCUACUGGACGGUGACUGACGCUGAGGCUCGAAAGCGUGGGGAGCAAACAGGAUUAGAUACCCCUGUA